rnacentral:rRNA from 1 species
GGAAGGAUCAUUAUUGAAAUAAAUCUGAUGGGUUGUUGCUGGUUCUCUAGGGAGCAUGUGCACGCCUUGUCAUCUUUAUAUCUCCACCUGUGCACCUUUUGUAGACCUUUCAGGUCUAUGUUGCUUCAUUUACCCCAAUGUAUGUUAAUAGAAUGUUGUGCCUAUAUACAAUAUAUACAACUUUCAGCAACGGAUCUCUUGGCUCUCGCAUCGAUGAAGAACGCAGCGAAAUGCGAUAAGUAAUGUGAAUUGCAGAAUUCAGUGAAUCAUCGAAUCUUUGAACGCACCUUGCGCUCCUUGGUAUUCCGAGGAGCAUGCCUGUUUGAGUGUCAUUAAUAUAUAUAUAUAUCAACCUUCUCUUGUGGAAUGGUUUGGAUGUGGGGGUUUGCUGGUUUCAUAUAUAUAUAUAUGGGUUCAGCUCUCCUGAAAUGCAUUAGCAGAACGACCUGUUCAUUUGGUGUGAUAACUAUCUACGCUAUUGAAUGUGAGGGGCAGUUCAGCUUUCCAACAGUCCUCUUGGACAACUCAUCAUUAAUGUGACCUCAAAUCAGG